GACGAAGGUACGGCGGUGAAUAGCCGUCCGUACUGACGGUACCUCCAGAAGAAGCCCCGGCUAACUACGUGCCAGCAGCCGCGGUAAUACGUAGGGGGCAAGCGUUGUCCGGAAUCAUUGGGCGUAAAGCGCGCGUAGGCGGCCCGGUAAGUCCGCUCUGAAAGUCCAGGGCUCAACCCUGGAAAGCGGGUGGAUACUGCCGGGCUAGAGUCCGGAAGAGGCGAGUGGAAUUCCUGGUGUAGCGGUGGAAUGCGCAGAUAUCAGGAGGAACACCAAUAGCGAAGGCAGCUCGCUGGGACGGUACUGACGCUGAGGCGCGAAAGCGUGGGGAGCGAACAGGAUUAGAUACCCUGGUAGUCCACGCCGUAAACGAUGGGCACUAGUUGUGGGAGGUGUCGACUCCUUCCGUGACGUCGCUAACGCAUUAAGUGCCCCGCCUGGGGAGUACGGCCGCAAGGCUAAAACUCAAAGGAAUUGACGGGGGCCCGCACAAGCAGCGGAGCAUGUGGUUUAAUUCGACGCAACGCGAAGAACCUUACCUGGGUUUGACAUGUUGGUGACCGGUGUGGAAACACACCUUUCCUUCGGGACACCAUCACAGGUGGUGCAUGGCUGUCGUC
rnacentral:rRNA from 1 species